rnacentral:siRNA from 1 species
AGACCUCUGCUCUCCGAAUUCCUC